rnacentral:lncRNA from 1 species
AACCUAUUGCCAAUGCUCGUGCUGUGAGAGACACUUACUUGAAGUAGCUUAAUGAUCGUACGAUUGUGCAUUGUGUGAUGAGGGCAGUCAUGAAUGAUGAAUUAGUUAUAAGUUCGAGGAUGCACAGUUAGAGUAAAUCAUUUAAAUGUUGAAUAAGUCCUUCAGCACCCCUGAGGAUGUGGAGGGACAUAAAACCUCCUACAUAGUAUUCAAUGCC